rnacentral:rRNA from 1 species
GAUGAACGCUGGCGGCGUGCCUAAUACAUGCAAGUCGAGCGAACAGAUGAGGAGCUUGCUCCUCUGACGUUAGCGGCGGACGGGUGAGUAACACGUGGAUAACCUACCUAUAAGACUGGGAUAACUUCGGGAAACCGGAGCUAAUACCGGAUAAUAUAUUGAACCGCAUGGUUCAAUAGUGAAAGACGGUUUUGCUGUCACUUAUAGAUGGAUCCGCGCCGCAUUAGCUAGUUGGUAAGGUAACGGCUUACCAAGGCAACGAUGCGUAGCCGACCUGAGAGGGUGAUCGGCCACACUGGAACUGGGACACGGUCCAGACUCCUACGGGAGGCAGGAGUAGGGAAUCUUUCGGAAUGGGCGAAAGCUUGACGGAGGAACGCCGCGUGAGUGAUGAAGGUCUUCGGAUCCUAAAACUCUGUUAUUAGGGAAGAACAAAUGUGGAAGUAACUAUGCACGUCUUGACGGUACCUAAUCAGAAAGCCACGGCUAACUACGUG